rnacentral:rRNA from 1 species
UGCGGAGGGAUCAUUACCGAGUUUACAACUCCCAAACCCAAUGUGAACGUUACCAAACUGUUGCCUCGGCGGGAUCUCUGCCCCGGGUGCGUCGCAGCCCCGGACCAAGGCGCCCGCCGGAGGACCAACCAAAACUCUUUUUGUAUACCCCCUCGCGGGUUUUUUUAUAAUCUGAGCCUUCUCGGCGCCUCUCGUAGGCGUUUCGAAAAUGAAUCAAAACUUUCAACAACGGAUCUCUUGGUUCUGGCAUCGAUGAAGAACGCAGCGAAAUGCGAUAAGUAAUGUGAAUUGCAGAAUUCAGUGAAUCAUCGAAUCUUUGAACGCACAUUGCGCCCGCCAGUAUUCUGGCGGGCAUGCCUGUCCGAGCGUCAUUUCAACCCUCGAACCCCUCCGGGGGGUCGGCGUUGGGGAUCGGCCCUCCCUUAGCGGGUGGCCGUCUCCGAAAUACAGUGGCGGUCUCGCCGCAGCCUCUCCUGCGCAGUAGUUUGCACACUCGCAUCGGGAGCGCGGCGCGUCCACAGCCGUUAAACACCCAACUUCUGAAAUGUUGACCUCGGAUCAGGUAGGAAUACCCGCUGAACUUAAGCAUA